GACGAACGCCGGCGGCGUGCUUAACACAUGCAAGUCGAACGGAAAGGCCCUGCUUUUGUGGGGUGCUCGAGUGGCGAACGGGUGAGUAACACGUGAGUAACCUGCCCUUGACUUUGGGAUAACUUCAGGAAACUGGGGCUAAUACCGGAUAGGAGCUCCUGCUGCAUGGUGGGGGUUGGAAAGUUUCGGCGGUUGGGGAUGGACUCGCGGCUUAUCAGCUUGUUGGUGGGGUAGUGGCUUACCAAGGCUUUGACGGGUAGCCGGCCUGAGAGGGUGACCGGCCACAUUGGGACUGAGAUACGGCACAGCCUCCUACGGGAGGCAGCAGUGGGGAAUAUUGCACAAUGGGCGGAAGCCUGAUGCAGCAACGCCGCGUGCGGGAUGACGGACUUCGGGUUGUAAACCGCUUUCGCCUGUGACGAAGCGUGAGUGACGGUAAUGGGUAAAGAAGCAGCGGCUAAGUACGUG
rnacentral:rRNA from 1 species